UACGAAGGGUGCAAGCGUUACUCGGAAUUACUGGGCGUAAAGCGUGCGUAGGUGGUUCGUUAAGUCUGAUGUGAAAGCCCUGGGCUCAACCUGGGAAUGGCAUUGGAAACUGGCGACCUAGAGUGCGGUAGAGGGUAGUGGAAUUCCCGGUGUAGCAGUGAAAUGCGCAGAUAUCAGGAAGAACACCCGUGGCGAAGGCGGCUCUCUGGGACGGUACUGACGCUGAGACGCGAAAGCGUGGGGAGCGAACAGG
rnacentral:rRNA from 1 species